AUAUGUAUCCAUCAGCCUGUAAAGCGUCUUUAAAUAUUCUCCUGCAGGCAUCUUUUCAUGUACAGACCAAGUUACCAUGUUCCUGCCUCUGUGAGCUUGAGAAUACCCCACAGCCACAAACUGUAGGCACAGUAUCUACAAAUUAUAAUAGCUAAUGUGGAACCCUGAGCUAUAGGCCUUGUCCGUAUAGUGAGUUACUGCCUCUCCAUCUCCCUAAGUUUGGGAAGACCCAGCAAAUACAACACAGGUGCUCAAGAAAUCUCUAAGGGACAUGUUAUUUGUGGUGUCUCACAAAAGGACCACAGUCCAGCCAUCCCUGGAGUUCAGAGCAGAGCUCAGCACAGG